rnacentral:ribozyme from 13 species
AAAAAUGGAAGAAAGAGAAUUGCACCUCAAUUCUUAGGUCAAAAUACUCUCCCUCCUUCUCGUCUCUCUUUUCCUCCUCCUUCUCUCUCUGCUCCUUCUUCUCUUUCUAUGAUGAAUACAAGGAUGGAGGUGGAUGAAGAGGGAAAGAAAGAGGAGAAGAAAGAAGAGAAA